rnacentral:rRNA from 1 species
GCAUAUCAAUAAGCGGAGGAAAAGAAACCAACAGGGAUUGCCCCAGUAACGGCGAGUGAAGCGGCAAAAGCUCAAAUUUGAAAUCUGGCUCCUUCCGGGGUCCGAGUUGUAAUUUGAAGAGGAUGCUUUGGGUGCGUCCGCGGCGUAAGUCCCCUGGAACGGGGCGUCAUAGAGGGUGAGAAUCCCGUCUUGAGUCGCUGGGCGCGCCCGUCUAAAGCUCCUUCGACGAGUCGAGUUGUUUGGGAAUGCAGCUCUAAGUGGGUGGUAAAUUUCAUCUAAAGCUAAAUAUUGGCCGGAGACCGAUAGCGAACAAGUAGAGUGAUCGAAAGGUUAAAAGCACCUUGAAAAGGGAGUUAAAUAGCACGUGAAAUUGUUGAAAGGGAAGCGCUUGCAGCCAGACUCGAGCGCGGGGGUUCAGCGGGCAUGUCAUGCCCGUGCACUCCCCCGCGCCCGGGCCAGCAUCAGCUUUGGCGGCCGGUCAAAGGCCCCCGGAAUGUGUCGUCCUCCGGGACGUCUUAUAGCCGGGGGUGCAAUGCGGCCAGCCGGGGCUGAGGAACGCGCUUCGGCACGGAUGCUGGCGUAAUGGCUGUAAGCGGCCCGUCUUGAAACACGGACC